rnacentral:snRNA from 1 species
GACUGUUAGGGUGAUCUGGCUGCAACAUCUGUCUCUUCAUUGAUCGCCAGGGUUGAUUCGGCUGAUCUGGUUGACUAGGCGGGUGUCCCCUUUCCUCCUUCACCACUCCACGUGUGUCCUUCCUGAAGCUGUGCGCUCUGUUGAAGAGGACACCACCCCGAUAGAGUAGGACUGUUUCCUUGGUCAAAGGUAUACAAGAAGCUGUGCUCCCCUACUAGAACCUCCAAACAAGCUCUCAAGGUCCAUAUAUGAGAAGUUAUAUGAUAUAUAUAUAAGCUUGUGUGUCAGAUUUAUUUCACUUAAU